rnacentral:rRNA from 1 species
GAACUGAAGAGUAUGAUCAUGGCUCAGAUUGAACGUUGGCGGCAGGCCUCAUACAUGCAAGUCGAACGCGAAAGGCCCUUCGGGGCUGAGUAGAGUGGCGAACGGGUGAGUAACGCGUAGGAAUCUACCCGGCAGUGGGGGACAACUCGGGGAAACUCGAGCUAAUACCGCAUGUGAUCUCCGGCAUUCGUGCCGGAGAUGAAAGCGGGGGAUCUCCCGCCGCGACUUCGGUUGCGGCGGAAGGACCUCGCGCUGUCGGAGGAGCCUGCGUUGGAUUAGCUUGUUGGUGGGGUAAUGGCCUACCAAGGCGACGAUCCAUAGCUGGUCUGAGAGGACGAUCAGCCACACUGGGACUGAGACACGGCCCAGACGGCUACGGUCGGCAGCAGUAGGGAAUAUUGCACAAUGGGCGAAAGCCUGAUGCAGCCAUGCCGCGUGUGUGAAGAAGGCCUUAGGGUUGUAAAGCACUUUCAGUGGCGAAGAAAAAGCCGGCGCUAAUACCGCCGGUCAUUGACGUUAACCACAGAAGAAGCACCGGCCAACUCCGUGCCAGCAGCCGCGGUAAUACGGAGGGUGCGAACGUUAAUCGGAAUUACUGGGCGUAAAGCGCGCGUAGGCGGUUUGUUAAGUGAGAUGUGAAAUCCCCGGGCUCAACCUGGGAACUGCGUUUCAAACUGACAAACUAGAGUUCAGUAGAGGGAGGUGGAAUUUCCUGUGUAGCGGUGGAAUGCGUAGAUAUAGGAAGGAACACCAGUGGCGAAGGCGGCCUCCUGGACUGAAACUGACGCUCAUGUGCGAAAGCGUGGGGAGCAAACAGGAUUAGAUACCCUGGUAGUCCACGCCGUAAACGAUGAGAACUAGCCGUUGGGCCCCUUGAGGGAUUGGUGGCGCAGCUAACGCGAUAAGUUCUCCGCCUGGGGAGUACGGCCGCAAGGUUAAAACUCAAGUGAAUUGACGGGGGCCCGCACAAGCGGUGGAGCAUGUUGUUUAAUUCGAGGCUACGCGAAGAACCUUACCACCACUUGACAUCCACGGAACUUUCCAGAGAUGGAUUGGUGCCUUCGGGAACCGUGUGACAGGUGCUGCAUGGCUGUCGUCAGCUCGUGUCGUGAGAUGUUGGGUUAAGU